GUAUAAUUUUAAAGGCAACAAAGGCCCAUUAAUUACAUUCUAAGACAUACAUUGGGGUAUAUGAAGAAACAUAGGCCUGGAAAUGUAAGGAGAGACAUCAAGCCAAACCUCAGACCUGCGUGGCUAGCCACUCAGAGAGAUAUCCAGGUCUACAAAAGGUGCACAGGUGGAGAUAUAAAGAUGACAAACGUGCACAUGUUCCCUAGAGAACCAGCAACAGCUUAUCAGGUUUACUUCAAUAAUGAUCCUUCCGCAGGUUCACCUACGGAAA
rnacentral:misc_RNA from 1 species